AGAGGACUAGUUAAAUAAAUAACUUUGGGUUGUCAGGCCAAAAUUACUGGUUAGACUCCAGUGUCUUCUU
rnacentral:tRNA from 1 species